GAGUUUGAUUCUGGCUCAGGAUGAACGCUAGCGAAAUGCCUAACACAUGCAAGUCGAACGGAUCUUGCGCUGUACUUGUACAGAGUAAGAUUAGUGGCAAACGAGCGAGUAACGCGUGCUUAACCUGCCCCGAAGAUGGGUAUAACUGCAGAGAUGUAGCUAAUUCCCAAUAUGCUCACGAUGGUGAAAUCCCAAUGUGAGGAAAGAUUUAUCGCUUCGGGAGGGGGGUGCGUCCUAUCAGGUAGUUGGUAAGGUAACGGCUUACCAAGCCUAUGACGGGUAACCGGUCUGAGAUGAUGUCCGGUCGCGAUGGGACUGAGAUACGGCCCAUACUCCUACGGGAGGCAGCAGUGGGGAAUCUUGCACAAUGGACGAAAGUCUGAUGCAGCAAUUUCGCGUGAAGGAUGAAGCAUUACGGUGUGUAAACUUCUUUUUUGGAGGAAGACGAAU
rnacentral:rRNA from 1 species